GCUUCCGUAACUCAGUGGUAGAGUAUCCGAUUGCAGAUCGGAUUGUCAGGUGUUCGAUCCACCUCGGGAGCU